CUCCUGCGUGGUUGCAAGUUCGAUGCCCACAAACGCAGGUAAAGCUCCCUGGGUUAAGCAGGUCUCUGGCUUCAUGUGACUCGGCACGAUUCACACGUCUCUAAAACAUGACGUCAUCACACGUGGACCACGUGACCAGGCUCAGGUGAGAUGACAUCACCCUCCUGAUCAGUGACCUCAGACGGCAUCAUCAUGAAUUCCUAACGGAGGAUCGGACGGCGUCCAAUCAGAACCGGCCGUGGAUUAUCAGGUAACGAGGCCUGACUGCAGGCAGCCAAUCAGACACACCGAUUAAUGGUGGUGCUCAGGGGUAAUCAAUAAUGCAGACACACACACACACACACACACAGUUGCCCUCACCACCAUUACAGUAAAUGACGAAGCUCUUGAGCUGCGAGAGAAAAAGGGGAAGGAUGGAGAGAAAUAAAGAGAAGAAAGAAAAGUGAGAGCGGAGUGACACAGAGUGACGAUGACCUCAGAGAUGCCAGGAGAGACUCGUGAGUCACGGCUGCAGCUUCAGACCGUCAUCUGAAAUGCCGGCUCAGCGCUCACACUGUUGUUGUUGUUGUUGUUGGAGGCCUGGCUAGGUUCUGGAGGACAAUCAGGUUUCACAUGCAGGAAUUUAUGUUAUUGCACCAGUCGAGAUUAUAGGAGCAAAGGUAGCAAAGCAUGGUAGCAUGGUAGCAUAGCGCAGGGGGCGUCGAUAGACAAUAAGCCCCGCCCCUUCCACUUGACCACCACGGGAUGGGUUUAGGAGUAAACGGUGAGAAACAAAUAACUUUUUGAUCCCCGUUUCUAUGAACUACACAAAUGAUAUUUGUCAAUUUAAAACAUUAUUUUGCACAUCAACAAAAAUCUAAUUUAGUUUAUUAUCUUUUACAUUGACAAACAUUCGCGGCACAAAAUAAAAUAAAUACAACGAAAAUAUUCUGCCAAAAAGUGACAGGAUGUUUUUUAUGGAGUCAAAUACAGAUAUGCAGUGAUGGUUGCUGGGUAAUAUGUACAGUGUGUUGAUGCUGUCCAAUGGCUAGUCUCUAUUCGAUCAUGUGAUGUACCGUAUACAGGCGCUAGCUGCAUCUAGCUAACGGGGAAUUAGCCCUGUCUUCUUCUUGAUAAACACUAGUAUAUUUAUACUAGUACUGAAUGUACAAUAGUAGAAGUAGUACGUAUUUUUAAAUGUGGAUAUUCUCAAUAUUAGUUUAGUUAACAUUUAUUUACUAUUAAAGUAAUAAUCUAAUGAUCCUUUGUGGUAAAAUCGUAUUUCUUUGGACAUUAUCUUCUCAUGAACUUAAUUGAACCUAAAAACAUUUAGCAAAAAAACCUGCUGAGUCACAGUGAAGGUGAAGAUGAUGAUGAUGAUGAUGAUGGUGGUGGAAAAGUUUCGGUCCCACCUGACACUGUCUGCCUCGGUAGGAAAUGUGCCACUGAGGGGGGAACGAGGCCACGUUCCACAGAGACGAUGUCAAGGCUCAGAGGUCACAUGACCAGGGCCAGCUCAGAGGUCACAUGACCUGAGUCACCGCGCCACUCAAAGCUUUGUGCGGCUGGUUUCCUGGUUUUCACUCUGGUUGGAGCUCAGCUGCUGCUGAGCUGCUGGUGCGACCUUGAACACGCUCCCCUUCUUUUACGAACACAUGGUUUCCAGUAGGAUGACAGAUGCAUUUAUCUAUGAAGGGAAACAUUCAAAGAGAGUGACAGGACGGAAGAGGAUAGAAAACUCCACUGUUGACAGAAAACCAGAAGGACAUUAACAAUAUAUGACGAGCAUCUAGGUGGACUAACCAAGAUGGCGACGAGGAGGAACCAAGAUGGCGAUGAGGAGGAACCAAGAUGGCGACGAGGAGGAACCAAGAUGGCGACGAGGAGGAACCAAGAUGGCGACGAGGAGGAACCAAGAUGGCGGCAGGAAGAAACAGUCCAAAUAAACUGAAUAUUUGACCAUCUUUUUGCUGAGUAGUAUUUCUUCGCAGCUAACGGUUUGGACACGAGGCUUAAACUUCUUCUUUAAAAAAAAAUCCUUGUUGAUUUAAUUAAAUUUUACGGCCCAAUGUUCCCAAACUCUCUGGUCUGCUCCCACAUGUGACGACUCGUUAGAGGAGACGAGGUGUGACACCAUGCAGCUGCUCAGAACAACACAAAACAACAACCAUGGGCUCAACAACAGGGGGUGUUUACAGCA